rnacentral:rRNA from 1 species
GACAGAGGGUGCAAACGUUGUUCGGAAUUACUGGGCGUAAAGCGCGUGUAGGCGGCAGGGCAUGUCGGAUGUGAAAUCCCGUGGCUCAACCACGGAAGUGCACCCGAAACUGCCCAGCUUGAGUCUCGGAGAGGAAGGCGGAAUGCUUGGUGUCGAGGUGAAAUUCGUAGAUAUCAAGCGGAACACCGGUGGCGAAGGCGGCCUUCUGGACGAUGACUGACGCUGAGACGCGAAAGCGUGGGGAGCAAACAGG